GGGAAGGUACUUGGCCUACGGUUCAUAAUGAAUUGAGGAAAGUCUGCCCACCAAGUUAAAGCCACUUCCUUAAGGAAGAUCCAGUAAUGGAUGGCAACAUCACAGAAACGGCACGGCUCUUAUUCGCUAUGAUGUCUUGAAGCCCUGGUGACAGGAGUGAGACCAGACUGAGUUUGUCUAAGAGAAACGUUGAAACGGAUAGGACUGGCAGGUGCAAGCACAAAAUGUGCGCUUAGUAAAAUGCCAAGACAGCCUGUUCCUUGCGAAUAAACUCGCAAACACUGCUUACAAAAAAUCAGUGCAGAAGGCUGACAAAAGGCAGCUUAUUCCUACCC
rnacentral:RNase_P_RNA from 1 species